rnacentral:rRNA from 1 species
UAAUGACUCUCGGCAACGGAUAUCUCGGCUCUCGCAUCGAUGAAGAACGUAGCGAAAUGCGAUACUUGGUGUGAAUUGCAGAAUCCCGUGAACCAUCGAGUCUUUGAACGCAAGUUGCGCCCAAAGCCAUUAGGCCGAGGGCACGUCUGCUUGGGCGUCUCACA